rnacentral:pre_miRNA from 1 species
ACUGCCCAGGAAUCUUGUUAAAAUGCAGAUUCUGAUUCAGCAGGUCUGGCUUCGGGCCAAGAUUCUGCAUUUCUAACAAGCUCCCAGGUGAUUAGAA